rnacentral:rRNA from 1 species
UACGGAGGGUGCAAACGUUGCUCGGAAUCAUUGGGCGUAAAGCGCACGUAGGCGGCCUGUUAAGUCGGAUGUGAAAUCCCUCGGCUCAACCGAGGACGUGCAUUCGAAACUGGCAGGCUCGAGUAUGGAAGAGGGUCGCGGAAUUCCCGGUGUAGAGGUGAAAUUCGUAGAUAUCGGGAGGAACACCAGUGGCGAAGGCGGCGACCUGGGCCAAUACUGACGCUGAGGUGCGAAAGCGUGGGGAGCAAACAGG